rnacentral:rRNA from 1 species
GACGAACGCUGGCGGCGUGCUUAACACAUGCAAGCCGAGCGGUAAGGCCCUUUCGGGGGUACACGAGCGGCGAACGGGUGAGUAACACGUGGGUGACCUGCCCUUAGCUCUGGGAUAAGCCUGGGAAACUGGGUCUAAUACCGGAUAUGACUCCAUAACGCAUGUUGUGGGGUGGAAAGCCUUGUGCGGCUAGGGAUGGGCCCGCGGCCUAUCAGCUUGUUGGUGGGGUGAUGGCCUACCAAGGCGACGACGGGUAGCCGGCCUGAGAGGGCGACCGGCCACACUGGGACUGAGACACGGCCCAGACUCCUACGGGAGGCAGCGGUGGGGAAUCUUGCGCAAUGGGCGAAAGCCUGACGCAGCGACGCCGCGUGGGGGAUGACGGCCU